CGCGUAGGUGGUUCAGCAAGUUGGAUGUGAAAUCCCCGGGCUCAACCUGGGAACUGCAUCCAAAACUACUGAGCUAGAGUACGGUAGAGGGUGGUGGAAUUUCCUGUGUAGCGGUGAAAUGCGUAGAUAUAGGAAGGAACACCAGUGGCGAAGGCGACCACCUGGACUGAUACUGACACUGAGGUGCGAAAGCGUGGGGAGCAAACA
rnacentral:rRNA from 1 species